GCGAUACAGGGUGACAGCCCCGUACACAAAAAUGCACAUAUUGUGAGCUCGAUGAGUAGGGCGGGACACGUGGUAUCCUGUCUGAAUAUGGGGGGACCAUCCUCCAAGGCUAAAUACUCCUGACUGACCGAUAGUGAACCAGUACCGUGAGGGAAAGGCGAAAAGAACCCCGGCGAGGGGAGUGAAAAAGAACCUGAAACCGUGUACGUACAAGCAGUGGGAGCCUCUUAAUGGGGUGACUGCGUACCUUUUGUAUAAUGGGUCAGCGACUUAUAUUCUGUAGCAAGGUUAACCGAAUAGGGGAGCCGAAGGGAAACCGAGUCUUAACUGGGCGUUAAGUUGCAGGGUAUAGACCCGAAACCCGGUGAUCUAGCCAUGGGCAGGUUGAAGGUUGGGUAACACUAACUGGAGGACCGAACCGACUAAUGUUGAAAAAUUAGCGGAUGACUUGUGGCUGGGGGUGAAAGGCCAAUCAAACCGGGAGAUAGCUGGUUCUCCCCGAAAGCUAUUUAGGUAGCGCCUCGUGAAUUCAUCUCCGGGGGUAGAGCACUGUUUCGGCAAGGGGGUCAUCCCGACUUACCAACCCGAUGCAAACUGCGAAUACCGGAGAAUGUUAUCACGGGAGACACACGGCGGGUGCUAACGUCCGUCGUGAAGAGGGAAACAACCCAGACCGCCAGCUAAGGUCCCAAAGUCAUGGUUAAGUGGGAAACGAUGUGGGAAGGCCCAGACAGCCAGGAUGUUGGCUUAGAAGCAGCCAUCAUUUAAAGAAAGCGUAAUAGCUCACUGGUCGAGUCGGCCUGCGCGGAAGAUGUAACGGGGCUAAACCAUGCACCGAAGCUGCGGCAGCGACACUAUGUGUUGUUGGGUAGGGGAGCGUUCUGUAAGCCUGUGAAGGUGGCCUGUGAGGGUUGCUGGAGGUAUCAGAAGUGCGAAUGCUGACAUAAGUAACGAUAAAGCGGGUGAAAAGCCCGCUCGCCGGAAGACCAAGGGUUCCUGUCCAACGUUAAUCGGGGCAGGGUGAGUCGACCCCUAAGGCGAGGCCGAAAGGCGUAGUCGAUGGGAAACAGGUUAAUAUUCCUGUACUUGGUGUUACUGCGAAGGGGGGACGGAGAAGGCUAUGUUGGCCGGGCGACGGUUGUCCCGGUUUAAGCGUGUAGGCUGGUUUUCCAGGCAAAUCCGGAAAACCAAGGCUGAGGCGUGAUGACGAGGCACUACGGUGCUGAAGCGACAAAUGCCCUGCUUCCAGGAAAAGCCUCUAAGCAUCAGGUAACAUCAAAUCGUACCCCAAACCGACACAGGUGGUCAGGUAGAGAAUACCAAGGCGCUUGAGAGAACUCGGGUGAAGGAACUAGGCAAAAUGGUGCCGUAACUUCGGGAGAAGGCACGCUGAUAUGUAGGUGAAGCGACUUGCUCGUGGAGCUGAAAUCAGUCGAAGAUACCAGCUGGCUGCAACUGUUUAUUAAAAACACAGCACUGUGCAAACACGAAAGUGGACGUAUACGGUGUGACGCCUGCCCGGUGCCGGAAGGUUAAUUGAUGGGGUUAGCGGUAACGCGAAGCUCUUGAUCGAAGCCCCGGUAAACGGCGGCCGUAACUAUAACGGUCCUAAGGUAGCGAAAUUCCUUGUCGGGUAAGUUCCGACCUGCACGAAUGGCGUAAUGAUGGCCAGGCUGUCUCCACCCGAGACUCAGUGAAAUUGAACUCGCUGUGAAGAUGCAGUGUACCCGCGGCAAGACGGAAAGACCCCGUGAACCUUUACUAUAGCUUGACACUGAACAUUGAGCCUUGAUGUGUAGGAUAGGUGGGAGGCUUUGAAGUGUGGACGCCAGUCUGCAUGGAGCCGACCUUGAAAUACCACCCUUUAAUGUUUGAUGUUCUAACGUUGGCCCGUAAUCCGGGUUGCGGACAGUGUCUGGUGGGUAGUUUGACUGGGGCGGUCUCCUCCUAAAGAGUAACGGAGGAGCACGAAGGUUGGCUAAUCCUGGUCGGACAUCAGGAGGUUAGUGCAAUGGCAUAAGCCAGCUUGACUGCGAGCGUGACGGCGCGAGCAGGUGCGAAAGCAGGUCAUAGUGAUCCGGUGGUUCUGAAUGGAAGGGCCAUCGCUCAACGGAUAAAAGGUACUCCGGGGAUAACAGGCUGAUACCGCCCAAGAGUUCAUAUCGACGGCGGUGUUUGGCACCUCGAUGUCGGCUCAUCACAUCCUGGGGCUGAAGUAGGUCCCAAGGGUAUGGCUGUUCGCCAUUUAAAGUGGUACGCGAGCUGGGUUUAGAACGUCGUGAGACAGUUCGGUCCCUAUCUGCCGUGGGCGCUGGAGAACUGAGGGGGGCUGCUCCUAGUACGAGAGGACCGGAGUGGACGCAUCACUGGUGUUCGGGUUGUCAUGCCAAUGGCACUGCCCGGUAGCUAAAUGCGGAAGAGAUAAGUGCUGAAAGCAUCUAAGCACGAAACUUGCCCCGAGAUGAGUUCUCCCUGAGACUUAGAGUCUCCUGAAGGAACGUUGAAGACGACGACGUUGAUAGGCCGGGUGUGUAAGCGCAGCGAUGCGUUGAGCUAACCGGUACUAAUGAACCGUGAGGCUUAACCUUACAACGCCGAAG
rnacentral:rRNA from 1 species